rnacentral:rRNA from 1 species
CCUACGGGCGGCUGCAGUGAGGAAUAUUGGUCAAUGGGCGCAAGCCUGAACCAGCCAUCCCGCGUGCAGGAAGACGGCCCUAUGGGUUGUAAACUGCUUUUCCAGGGGACGAAUAGUUUCUACUUGUAGAGACCUGACGGUACCUUGGGAAUAAGCAUCGGCUAACUCCGUGCCAGCAGCCGCGGUAAUACGGAGGAUGCAAGCGUUAUUCGGAUUAAUUGGGUUUUAGGGGGAUUUAGACGGAUUAAUAGAAAUCCUACAGCUUAACUGUAGAACUGCCAUUGAUACUGUUAGUCUUGAGUUUGGUUAAGGUAGGCGGAAUGUGUAAUGUAGCGGUGAAAUGCUUAGAUAUUACACAGAACACCAAUUGCGAAGGCAGCUUACUGGACCGACACUGACGCUGAGGCACGAAAGCGUGGGGAUCGAACAGGAUUAGAUACCCGAGUAGUC